UGCAAGGGCACUCUGUGUUAUUCAUUUUCAAUUGAACAAUUACAAUUUGUAACCUUGCUACAUCGAUUCUGCCAAAUCCUAUUCCCGAUUUGCCGUGUUCUGGCUAUUGGGUCAUAUUGGCAGGUACAUUAU